GACGAACGCUGGCGGCGUUCUUAACACAUGCAAGUCGGACGGAAAGGCCCUUCUUUUGUGGUGUUCUCGAGUGGCUAACGGGUGAUUAACACGUGAGUAACCUGCCCUUUACUUUGGGAUAACUUCAGGAAACUGGGGCUAAUACCGGAUAGGAGCUCCUGCUUCAUGGUGGGGGUUGGAAAGUUUCGGCGGUUGGGGAUGGACUCUCGGCUUAUCAGCUUGUUGGUGGGGUAGUGGCUUACCAAGGCUUUGACGGGUAGCCGGCCUGAGAGGGUGACCGGCCACAUUGGGACUGAGAUACGGCCCAGACUCCUACGGGAGGCAGCAGUGGGGAAUAUUGCACAAUGGGAGGAAGCCUGAUGCAGCAACGCCGCGUGCGGGAUGACGGCCUUCGGGUUGUAAACCGCUUUCGCCUGUGACGAAGCGUGAGUGACGGUAAUGGGUAAAGAAGCACCGGCUAACUACGUG
rnacentral:rRNA from 1 species